rnacentral:rRNA from 1 species
AUUGAACGCUGGCGGCAUGCCUUACACAUGCAAGUCGAACGGCAGCACGGGAGCAAUCCUGGUGGCGAGUGGCGAACGGGUGAGUAAUAUAUCGGAACGUGCCCAGUCGUGGGGGAUAACGCAGCGAAAGCUGUGCUAAUACCGCAUACGAUCUAUGGAUGAAAGCGGGGGAUCGAAAGACCUCGCGCGAUUGGAGUGGCCGAUAUCAGAUUAGCUAGUUGGUGAGGUAAAGGCUCACCAAGGCGACGAUCUGUAGCUGGUUUGAGAGGACGACCAGCCACACUGGAAGUGAGACACGGUCCAGACUCCUACGGGAGGCAGCAGUGGGGAAUUUUGGACAAUGGGCGCAAGCCUGAUCCAGCAAUGCCGCGUGCAGGAUGAAGGCCUUCGGGUUGUAAGCUGCUUUUGUACAGAGCGAAAAGGCUCUCUCUAAUACAGAGGGUUGGUGACGGUACCGUAAGAAUAAGCACCGGCUAACUACGUGCCAGCAGCCGCGGUAACAC